rnacentral:rRNA from 1 species
CGCUGGCGGCGUGCUUAACACAUGCAAGUCGAACGGAAAGGCCCUGCUUUGUGGGGUGCUCGAGUGGCGAACGGGUGAGUAACACGUGAGUAACCUGCCCUUGACUUUGGGAUAACUUCAGGAAACUGGGGCUAAUACCGGAUAGGAGCUCCUGCUGCAUGGUGGGGGUUGGAAAGUUUCGGCGGUUGGGGAUGGACUCGCGGCUUAUCAGCUUGUUGGUGGGGUAGUGGCUUACCAAGGCUUUGACGGGUAGCCGGCCUGAGAGGGUGACCGGCCACAUUGGGACUGAGAUACGGCCCAGACUCCUACGGGAGGCAGCAGUGGGGAAUAUUGCACAAUGGGCGGAAGCCUGAUCCAGCCAUGCCGCGUGAGUGAAGAAGGCCUUCGGGUUGUAAAGCUCUUUCGGCCGGGAAGAAAUCGCAUGGGUUAAUACCCUGUGUGGAUGACGGUACCGGAAUAAGAAGCACCGGCUAACUACGUG